UUUAGACGUGGGUACCAUAGUUAGGUACCACCUCUGGUCUCUGGUACCACUACAGCAGAGAAGAACAACCGACCGCAGUAUACAAGAUUCAACAGAGAGUGGAGGACUGGGUAACAAUCUAAGAUGAGGUAAUUUGUUUUCUGCCUUAAUGGAAUACAACAAAUUUUGACACACCUACUAAUUUGGUAUGGUCCUAUAAUGGAUGUUAACAGAUAAAUUUAAAUAUCAUAUUUGAUGUUUGUAAAUUGUUAAAUAAAAUUUUGACUACACGAGUCUACAAAUUGACUACAAAUUGUUUGGUUUGGUUGUAACUAAAACUAUGCAGGUAUGUUCUUUGGUAAUUUAAAAUUUACAUGUGACGUUUAACUUUAUUAACUCAUAUAACAAAUAUUUUGAUUUUAUAUUACAUUUUAAGAUUAUUUUUGUUUGUAUAAAGAAUAAAAAUGUAGCAAUUAUCACUUCAAGUUAAAUUUAUUUGUCCUUUGAUUAAUAAUAAGUCACAACAAUUAUGUUCAUUAUUAAUAGAUUUAUAAUUUUAUUUUUUAUCUAUCUAUUUUUUGUCUAGGUAGUAUCAUAUUUUGAUUCAAUCAUUUUAUUUAAAGAAAAUGACACAUUUCUUUUAAUAUAAAGGGUGUUCCUUAAUGACAUGCUAAUUUUAGGGGCGAUUCUUGGGCCUAUUUAAAAAAAACUUUAUCCACGAUUCGUCUAUAAUUUGAUUAUUAUACAUGAGUUUAUGAAAUAAUAAUAAUAUUCAUUAUUCACUUGUGAAUAAUGGCUUCCACGGAUAUCUCGAUCCAAACUUCAAAUAAGAGCUGUCAAACAUUACCAUUAAUGUAAAUAAAUAAUUUGUUUUAAUUAGUUAAAGCUAAAUUAGUUAGCUACCUAGUUAAAGGAAAUUUCGAUGUUUUGUUUCCAUGUUACUUACUCGUUCAAUAUUUUUUUUUUGACAUUAAAAAUAAAAACUUUUAUUAAUAUUAUC